AAUAACAAUGAGAACCAGAAUGAUGUGGGUUGAAAGCAUGGUCCUAGCUUUGAACUCCAAGAUAUCUUGGGAGGUUUGGGGGAUCAACAUUUACAUUCCUCUAGGCAGAAUACCUGCAGAGUGAAGAAGAACCAAUAAAAGGAUGCAGCAAGAGAUGGUGGUCAAAUUUACUUAGUAGGAGAAAGAAGCUUAUUCCCUAUCACCUUCCUUCUUAUUCUCAUUUCUAAAGACAGGAACAGCAGAAGAUGGAAAGUCUAAAGUGGUUGCUCAUCUUUGUGUCAGAGGUUCUUCACAUCUCAGAAGGGACAUUGGGCUGUAGCAUUGCAUGGAAGUUGCCUUGGAUUGACACAUAUGGAGGCUAUUGAUUUGAGGCAUGGGGAAGCCCUUUGGGGCAUAUGGAAGACAUCUAGCUGGUCCUCUAAUCACCCCUGCCCCCUUAGGGACACACUGGUCCCAACAGGAAAUGGAAGGCAUAUGGCUUAUAUACACAGGAACUUGGCUCCUCUUCUCACCUGAGGAGGCUGAGAAAGAAAUAAUAGCAAAAAAGCAGUAAAUUAUGCUUUAUGCAGGGUGAAAAGAUUUUAGGAAACACAUUAGGGCUAUUCUAUUCACCUGUUAAUAAAUUUUAAGCAUGAGGUAAUUGAUUAAAAAAACAAAAAGAUUUUAUAUAUAUCGGAAACAUCGGAAACAAAAAACAAAAGACUGUAUGGUGUAAUAGCAAAAGCUCCAAGCAACACUCAUAAUAGGAUCACAGCCGGGACAUUUAUCUAUAUGAAGUCAUCAUGGAUAAAGCCCUUUGCCUAGUUGUGCUUCCAUUUCCUGAUCCAUAAAAGGGGCAGGACAUUACUGCUGCCCCACAGAAGUUGGUGAUGAAAUGAUUAUACAAACCAUGAAUAAGAGAAAUGCCCAGAACAUCGAUUGAAAGAAUGGGAACAACUAAGAACACUUGGAGUAAGUGAUAUGCUCUGUCCUACGUGAUUUGGACUCCUUGGUUUUGUUACAGACUAGACCUGUGAUUUCACACACAUAUGUGUGCACAAAUGUACAUACAAACACACACACUUAUUCAAUUACCACGUGGCUGGUUUAAGGGUAUCUCAAAUCAAUAUUUCUAACUUGAAGCAUCAUCUUUUUGUCUGUAUCUCCUUUUCCUUCUAGCCUUCCUCUGUCUGCUGAUGGAUCUAUUAUACUUUCAGUUAUUCAA